rnacentral:lncRNA from 1 species
CUGAAAGACCACUCGGGAAGAUACCAGUGGUGGUGAUGGCGGAAGGAGCCUUCAGUUUCAAAAAGUUGCUGUAUCAGUGUGAGAACCAGGAGUUUUGAGGCUCCUAGAAGAAUUGCUAUACCCCCAGUGUAUCAUCAGCUCUAGCUUUAUAUUUACUUCACAAUGACAUGAAUAAUGCAAGACAUCUUUGGGAAAGGAUACCACCUGAUAUAAAAUCUGCAAAUUCUGAACUUGGGAGAAUUUGGUCAGUAGGACAGAGAGUCUGGCAACGGGAUUUCCCUGGGAUCUUCGUGACCAUCAGCGCCCAUCAGUGGUCCCAGACAGUGAAGCCAAUCAUGGACGCACAGAGAUGCCACAAGAAGACUCGCCUUUGUCCUGGUCUCUCAAGCAUACACCUCGAAAACCGCUGAUGAUUUUGCAACCUUUGUUGGACUUCCUGUAGAAGAGACUGUGAAAGGUACACUAGAACCAGGAUGACAAGCUGACUUCACCACCAGAAUGGUUCUGCCCAGAAAGCCAGUUGCAGGGGCACUGGAUGUUUCCUGUAACAGGUUUAUUCCUUUAUCAGAGCCUGCCCCACUUCCACCGAUCCCUAAAGAACAGCAGUCAGCCAGACUGAUCGAUUAUGUGGCUUUCCUUGAAAACUGAUGUACCAUUCUGAAUUCAGCAUCCACUUCAGAAUCUCUGAAUACAGAAUCACUGACAAAUACAGAAAUGUAAAAUCUUUAUUUUCAAUUUACUGGAAGGAUUAUACGCACCUCAGCAUUCCUUACUGAGUAUGUGAUAAAAUACAUAUUUUAUGAUAAAAUAAAAUAUGGUAUGUAUAUUUCAUCCUUACACAUUAUGCCAAAUAGUUGUUAAAGCAAUUCUCAUUUUGUAAUAUCUAACAAUCUGGUUGGAUGGAGCUCAUCAGUAUUAUGCCAUUAGUUUCUAGUUCCUGGAGAUCCCUAACUC